AAAUGGCCGAGAGGAGCAGGAUGAGAGAGGGAGAUGCAGAGGAGAGUGAGAUCAGAGAAGAAAUGAGAGAGAGCUUGCGAAUGAGAGUGAAAUAGAGAGAGAGAUCGUGGGAGAUGGUAGCUGGCCGGCCAAGAAUGGCGCUGUUGCUGGCUGGUUGCAGGGGCUGCUUGGAGAAGACACAACCAUGGCAGCGAUGAUGGAGCUCGAGGAGAGACUGAUGGCAGCGAUGGCUCGCGUGGAGGUAGCCUGUGGUGGCCGCGGUGACCAGCGACGUUGGAAGAGCCGAUGAUGGCUGGUGCAGCAAAGGCGAACGGCCAUGGCAGCAGCUUCGCUGCUGUUCCAGCCGCUGGUCAGCGUCAGGGGACACAUGCUGGAGGCCAUCAGCAAGCUUAGGGGCGCAAGGAAGUGUCGAAGAGGGCCGGGAGCGCGGCCAUGGCAGCUGCGAAGCUGUCGUUGCAGCAGCCAAGCGUAGCCAUGGCUGCGCGCAGCAGUUGUAGCAGCGAAGUGGGCGACGAGCAGCUAUUGCGGGGCGACCGAAGGAGGCCAGGCAGCGGGUGGCUGGUGGUGCACGCAGGCAGGCGCGCGAUGGGGAAGAAGAAGGAGCUGCUCGUGCGUGAGAAGAAGUGAAAGAGAAGAAGAGCAAAUGGAGAAGAAGGCACGGAAGGUUGAAGACAAUGAACAGUGGCUGCGCGGGAGAGGAGGAGAGAAAAUAAAGAAGAAAAAAAAAUUAGAAAAGAAAAAGAAAAAUGGAAAUUCUGAAAAAUAGAUGAAAAAUCCCGAAAAAUUCCAGAAAAUUGGGGAAAAGUCCUAGAAAUUAUAUUGAGGCUCGUAGAGCAUACCGGAAGCUCGAGAAUGGGAUUUCGGGCAUGUGAUGGUAGCUCGGGAAGCAACGUCGGCGUGGGCGAUUGGCCGAUUUUUCCUUCCAAUUGAAUGAGGUUCGACCGGAGGGACGGUGAUCCUAGAAGAACUUGAGAUUCAAGCUGGAAUUCGUGCCGAGGCGGAGAUAAAGCUUCGAGCCAGAUGACGCAAGUCCGGAUACAAGCAGGGAUGGCGCCAGGAGGUUGUUGUGGCAACUAGCUGUGUUGCCCGAGUUUUGUAUUUUAUUACCUCUUGUACGUAGUCAUGUAGUGUGAUGUGUGUAUACCCUUGUGAGUAAAUGUAUACUUGUUGAGAGUUGGUUGUAUCUAAUUGUUGUAAUCAUCGUAGAGUGAUAAAUGAUUGUGAAAUUGUUCAUUAUAUAUAUGGCUUGGGUUAUUGAAGCCAAGUUCGGAUCGAGUAAAGAUCAGCGAGGUAUGUUCUCAUAAAUCCCCAAUACUUAGCGAAGUGUUUGUAUGCUAGCUUUGUGCCUGGGUCACCUCUGGCUUGCUAUGGGGCGAGCUAAAGAGAGGUGAAGCUCACUCGGGUUUCGGGUCUCAGUCCGCUGUGUCUUCUUGAUUGAGUUAGGACCGAUUCCUGAGUGGAGCGAAGGGAAGGACGAAGCCUAGUUCCCACCUAGGGCGUUUCCUGUUGAAACAUAGUCCAACCCUUCAGUUGUGGUUUGAUAGGUGAGUAAUCUGGUCGAUUAUUUACCAGUGGCACCCGUAAGUGGGAGCGGGUCGUUACAGUUAUAUGUUGAUGGAAUUCUUAUACGAGAUGGGUGUAACUAAUCCUUGGACCUGAGGUUGUCACGGUCAUCUCAUAAGAAGACCGAUAUGCUUUGACAUCGUUUCGAUGGGCCUAGAUAAAGGCUGCACGUGGGCGAUCGUUGGGCAUAUCAUGAGGCUUAUGGAGAUGGGUGCAUAACCAAGAUGGGACUCGUCUAUCCCUUGAUAGAGGAUGAUGUAUCUAAGGCGCCAUCAGUGGAUAUUCACUUUAAAUCCAUGGCUAUGGUAAAAAAGAUCAAUAAGGAGUUAUUGAUUUACUUUCUAUUAAGUGAAGAUAUCUAGAAGACCGAAGAAAACUCAUGUGAUCGUUAUCAAGUAACACAUCGUCAUACUUGAGAUCACAUAAGAUACAUUGAUGAGAGGAUCGUAUUACAUGGUAACCAUGCUCGUGAAAGGUUAUUUGCAGAUUAUGAAUCCUUCUGAAUAAUUGGGUAGGCAUGAUGCCUUGCUAGAGGCUAAUCUUGUCUUAUGUGUUUGUACCGACACAUUGCCAACAUAUUCGGAAGCCUAAUGAGUCAUACGCAAUAGACACGGUCCCUGGCUUAAACUAGGAGAGUGGAUGUAUGGUUAAGUGGGACACUUCGGCAAGAAGUUUUGCCGUCGUAGGUUCUCACCGAAAAAGAACAAAUAAACAUAAUGACGUCGAUAUGACGAGGAGUCGUCAUAAUGGAAAGAGUUUCCUAAAAAUGGCAAUUAAUUAAAUUAGGAAGGAGUUUCUAAUUUAAUAAUUUUCUAUUUAUUGGAGUGGCAAAUAAGAAAUAAAAUAUAUUUGGGCUUAAGUUAAUAUUUGGACUAAAUUAGAUUUGGGCCAAAUAUUAAAUUAAAUAUUAGAUUUGGACUAAAUUGGAUUUGGGCCAAAUAUUAAAAUAAAUAUUAUAUUUGGACUAAAUUAGAUUUGGGCCAAAUAUUAAAUAUUAUAUUCGGACCAAAUUAGAUUUGGGCCAAAUAUUAAAUAAAAUAUAUUUGGGCUUGAAUUAGAUUUGGGCCAUAAUAUUUUAUUUAACCUAUAAAAGGAUUGGGCCAUUUAAUUAUAUUUCUAGUUGGACUAGAAUAAGCCCACUUAAGAUUCUAAUUAAAUUAGAAUUAAUUGGCAAGCCCAAUCCAUUAGGGUUUUAGAAACCCUAGGAUAUUUCACUAUAAAUAUCCCUUUAUGGGUUGCCCAAAAUUUGAAGUGUUUUUGGUGUCAUUUUUCAAGAGUUGAAAAACGUAUUGCCGUUCACUCUUCCCGUUUCUUUUGGCAUCGAUUUGAAACGUGGGUGUUCUUUUACCAUCGAUACACAAGCCACGCAAAGGAGAAGGAGCUAGCACUCCUAUUCUGCUCUCCUUACCAAUGGACGCGUGCUGCGUAUCACGAGUUAGAGGCCGGACGCUUGGACGGCUCGAAUCUACGAACGACUCGAUAAUCUAAAGGUUAGAUUUAUUUAUUUGUUUGUGAAUGAUUUAAUUUCGACGUUGAUCCAAUCGUCGGGAUCGGGGUAAGUUCAAAAUUUUGAACUACGCUGUUUACCCCGUAGCGAUCUUGCUUUACUUUCACGCACAUGGGAGGUCGGCCAUGGCAGUUGCAGCACCGGAGGCACGCGGAGAGGCCGGUCAGGGGGCAGCACGGUGCGACCAGCAAGGCCGUGGGUGGCAGAGCCGGCAUUAGGAGGCGCCGACAAUGGCUGAAAUGGCCAUGGACAGUGGGGCUGGUGCACAGGCUGGUGAGGAAGAAGACAGCACACGCGGGAAGCCGAGGAAGGAGAAAAAUAAAAGGGAAAAGAAAAAAAAAUGGAAAAGAAAAAUAAAAUAAAAGAAAUAAUGGAAAAUCUGAAAAUUUGAGGAAAAAUAGGAGAAAAUCCCGAAAAAUUCCAGAAAAAGUGGGGAAAGUUCUGGAAAUUAAAUUGGGCCUUGUGGAGCGUGUCGGAAGCUCGAAAAUGAGAUUUUGGGCGCAAAUAGCAACUCGGGAGGCAAUGCCAACAUGGAUGAUUAAUCGAUUUUCUCUUCCAGAUUAACUGAGGUGAGUUAAUUAAUUCUUUUCAAAAUAUUUCUUUUAUGUGAAAUAUUAAAUAGUGUAGGGUAGUUAAUUGUUGGAUUAAACCCUGGGUCGGGGUUGUUUGUAAAUUAUUAAACGACUGAUGUAUGCCGUGGUUGGUUGUAUGGAGAUAGUGUUGAUGGUGAUUUUGCGAUGUGUGGCGAAAUUGAGGGCAUUUGGUUAAUGUCGAAUUUUAAUGGAGUUGGGUUUUGUGUGUUUGCCUCUAGGUUCGACCGAGAAGGCGGUGAUCCUAGAAGAGCUCAAAGUUCGGGCUAGCAUUCUCGCCAAGGCAGGGAUGAGGUUUCGAGCCAUGUAAGGGACGGCCCCAUGUGGAGGUGGCCUUGCAAGUUGGUAAAUGUGUUUGAUAAUGUAUUUAUGUUGCAUUGGCAUGUAGUGAUUAUAUCUUGUGUGAUGCAAGACCUAGUGGACCGAUGGCCAUAUGGAGAACUAGUGUGGUGGGGGCUGAUAGGUUGAUGCCUCAAACCUUAGUGGGUUGUGAGGAUGAGUGGACCUAGCCUCAUUUGCAUGCAUUUGGCAUACAUAAACAUCGUUAUAUUCAUAUUUACAUGCAUUGCACCCUUACUGAGUCUUUAUGAGUCAUGAGGUUUUACCUCAUGUGUAGAUGAUGCAAGUCCAAAUGCAAGCAGGGAUGGUGCCGGGAGGCUGUUGGGGCAAUUAGCUUAUUGCUUGAGAUGUGUUAUUGUGUAAUCUCCUAUAAUUUUUUAUAUGUAUUCAUGUAAUUGAAUGUAAACGAUAUUGAGCACUAGAUGUAUUUAAUUGUUGAAAUCACCAUAAUGUGAUAAAUGAUUGUGAGAUUGUUCGUUGUAUAUGGCUUAGUUGGAGAAGCCAAGUUUCGGACCGAGUAAAGAUCAGCAAGGUAUGUGCUCAUAAAUCCCCAAUACUCAGCGAAGUGUUUGUAUGCUAGCUUUGUGCCUGUGUCACCUCUGGCUUGCCAUGGGGUGAGCUUAAGAGAGGUGCAGCUUACUCGGGUUUCGGGUCUUGGUCCGCUGGAUUUUUCUUGUUUGAGUUGGGACCGAUUCUUGAGUGGAGCGAAGGGAAGGACGAAGCCUAGUUCCCACCUAGGGCGUUUCCUAUUGAAACAUAGUCCAACCCUUCAAUUGUGGUUUAUCGGGUGAGUAAUCCGGUCGAUUAUUUACCAGGGCGCUCGUAAGUGGGAGUGGGUCGUUACAGCAUGGAGAACUACCCUUAAUAUGCAUUGUAUUUGCAUUACAUGUUAUGUUUCUCAUACUUCAUUUACAUUUACAUAGAACCCUUACUGAGCUUUGGCUCAUAAGGUCCUUUGACCUCAAUGUAGGUGGAGAGCCAUCGAAAGGAAAGGGAGUUU